ACGUAGGGAGCAAGCGUUGUUCGGAUUUAUUGGGCGUAAAGAGCGCGUAGGCGGCUUGGCAAGUCCGUUGUGAAAUCUCACAGCUCAACUGUGAAACUGCAGCGGAAACUGCCUCGCUAGAGUGCGGGAGAGGAGAGUGGAAUUCCCAGUGUAGAGGUGAAAUUCGUAGAUACUGGGAGGAACACCGGUGGCGAAGGCGGCUCUCUGGACCGCAACUGACGCUGAGGCGCGAAAGCUAGGGGAGCAAACGGG
rnacentral:rRNA from 1 species